AGCAGCCGCGGUAAUUCCAGCUCCAAUAGCGUAUAUUAAAGUUGUUGCAGUUAAAAAGCUCGUAGUUGAAUUUCGGGGUCAGUAAGUUGGUCGUGCCACUGGUAUGUACUGGCUUUACUGAUUCCUCCUUCUUGUAGAACCGUAAUGCCAUUAAGUUGGUGUUGCGGGAAAACAGGACUGUUACUUUGAAAAAAUUAGAGUGUUUAAAGCAAGCUAACGCUUGAAUACAUUAGCAUGGGAUAAUGAAAUAGGACGAACGAUCCUAUUUUGUUGGUUUCUAGGAUUGACGUAAUGAUUAAUAGGGAUAGUUGGGGGCAUUAGUAUUCAAUUGUCAGAGGUGAAAUUCUUGGAUUUAUUGAAGACUAACUACUGCGAAAGCAUUUGCCAAGGAUGUUUUCAUUAAUCAAGAACGAAAGUUAGGGGAUCGAAGACGAUCAGAUACCGUCGUAGUCUUAACCAUAAACUAUGCCGACUAGGGAUCGGAUGAUGUUAAUUUUUUAAUGACUCAUUCGGCGCCUUA
rnacentral:rRNA from 1 species